GUAAAGGUCAACCAGUGAGACGAUGGGAGAUAGGAUUCAUCGUCGAGAGGGAAACAACCCAGAUCAUCAGCUAAGGCCCCUAAAUGACCGCUCAGUGAUGAAGGAAGUAUGACUGCAAAGACAACGAGGAGGUUUUCCUAAAAGCAUCCAACCUUGAAAGAGUGCGUAAUAGCUCAUUUAUUGAGCACUCUUGUGUGGAAUAUGAACGGGACUAAGCGAUCUUCUGAAGCUAUGGGAUGUAAAAAUACAUCCGUAGGGGAGCGUUCCACCUCAGAGAGAAGAAUCGACGCAAGCAGGUGUGGACGAAGCGGAAGCGAGAAUGUCGGCUUGAGUAACACAAACAUUGGUGAUAAUCCAAUGCCCUGAAAACCUAAGGGUUCCUUCACAAGGUUCAUCCACAGAGGGUGAGUCGAGGCCUUAGAUCAGGCUGAAAGGCAUAGUCAAUGGACAACAAGUUAAUAUUCUUGUACUACCCCUUUUUGGUCCCGAGGGAUGGAGGAGUCUAGGUUAGCCAAAAGAUGGUUAUCGGUUCUAGGACGCAAGGUGACCCUCUAUACAUUGAUUCAAAGGUAAAAGAAUAAUCAAAUAUAGGUGUGUACAA
rnacentral:ncRNA from 1 species